UCUCUUCAUUAUUAGUCACUAAUACUCUCUAAUUAAGAUAUGGCUAUGAGCAAAGCUUCAUUCACUUUGUUCUCUUUGGUGUUUGUGAUUCUCCUCUCAAUUGGUUUGCAACGUGUAGAUGCUUUUGGACCACCAUGUAAGACUAAUCAGGAUUGUGUAGUUUAUUGCAGUGUCCCCAUUAAGAGAGGCACUGGAAUAUGCUUGGGUGGAUACUGUACAUGUGAAAAACAAGAAUCUAUCAACAAUGAUAGAAAAAUUUUACAUGACUAGAAAUAGGUAUAGAUGAAAAAAAAUAUGUUUUUUUGUACUUUGAUCUAUGAUUUUAAUAAAAUGUGACAAAAAAUUCGAUUUUAUGUUUGGAGGAAUGAAAAUCAAUGAGAAAUCAAUAAUUCAUUAAA